rnacentral:lncRNA from 1 species
GCAUUUGUAUAUUAAAUCAUAGUAGAGGAUAUGAGGUGAGCAUGAAAGAUGAAAAGAAGAUGAAUGGGGAAUUAAGAUGCAGAGUCUCUUUACCUUUAAUACAUUCAGUUUCUGGUUCCGUGCUAUUACUCUUCUUCAGUCUGCAUAUUUUUCCUCCUUCUGGGCAGCUUCCACAUACUGAUUUCGACCACUUCAAAGAAAAUGC